ACGCUGGCGGCGUGCCUAACACAUGCAAGUCAACUUGACUGAAGGAGCAAUCUGACAGUAGAGUGGCGCAAGGUGCGUAACGCGUAAGUAACUUGCCCCAAGGUAAGGAAUAACGUCGAGAAAUCGGCGCUAAUACCUCAUAAUGCAGCGGAUCCGCAUGGAUAUGUUGUUAAAGGUUUACCGCCUUGGGAUAGGCUUGCGUCUGAUUAGCUAGUUGGUGUGGUAACGGCACACCAAGGCUACGAUCAGUAACUGGUCUGAGGGGAUGAUCAGUCACACUGGAACUGAGACACGGUCCAGACUCCUACGGGAGGCAGCAGUGAGGAAUAUUGGGCAAUGCUCGAAAGAGUGACCCAGCAACGCCGCGUGGAGGAUGAAGGUAUUCUAUAUCGUAAACUCCUGUGAGAGCAGACGAAAGACAGAUUAUUAAUCUGGAUGACUGUAUGCUCAGAGGAAGCCCCGGCUAACUACGUG
rnacentral:rRNA from 1 species